UACGGAGGGGGCUAGCGUUGUUCGGAAUUACUGGGCGUAAAGCGCACGUAGGCGGUUUUGUAAGUAGCGGUGAAAGCCUGGGGCUCAACUCCAGAAUAGCCUUUAAGACUGCAUCACUUGAACACGGGAGAGGUGAGUGGAAUUCCGAGUGUAGAGGUGAAAUUCGUAGAUAUUCGGAAGAACACCAGUGGCGAAGGCGGCUCACUGGACCGUUGUUGACGCUGAGGUGCGAAAGCGUGGGGAGCAAACAGG
rnacentral:rRNA from 1 species